UCCCCUUCCUAGAUCGACGCCCCUUCCUCUCCCGAUCAGGAUCAACACAAGACGCCCUUGCUUCUCCGUCCAACCACACCGCAUCUCCUCCAACUCCUCCCUUUGCUUUCUUCUUCUGCAAGAGUUUCUCUUCUUUCAUUUCCUCUUCUUCAUCGUCUUCUACUUCCGUCCAUCCGGCUGUGGCGGCACCUGAUGGCGGCCGAUCGAGCUCGACUACCCGUGCAUGUGGUUGGCAUGGCUUUCGCGAAUCAGUACUACCAGAUCCUUGCCAAUUCCCCUCUGCUUCUCUUCCGCUUAUACAAAGAGGGAAGCACGCUCAGUCGGCUGGAUCAUCAGGGCGAAAUGAUUUCCGUCACCGGCAUGGAUAUAAGAUGCCUUGUUUAAUUGUCUUCAUUCAUCUCGUACUUUUAUUCUCAAACAGUGGCAAUCGUUUUGGACUAAGUGCCGAUUCUUUAUUUCUUUCGGUCUUUUAUUGUUUGUUAUUGUAAGAUCUACUGAUUGGGUAUCUUCUGUUUGGUGGUGCUUGGUGAAUGACGGAAAGGCAAUCAAGGAGAAGCUUCGUUUCGUUGACUAUAGCGAGUACAGGGCGAAGAUUAAGAUAGUGGACGGGCAGAAAUCGAUGAAUGGCUGUCUUAGUGUUCUUGUGGCGGGGUAUCUCACCGGGAAAGAUGACGCCAAGAAAAAAUUUGCUCAAUUUUUUAUGAUGGCCCCUCAGGAUAAGGGAUACUAUGUUUUGAAUGAUAUAUUUCGUCUUCUUGCUCCUGAACAAGGUUACUGAAGUCGCUACUGAUCCCUUCCUCAUCUUUGAUGGUUUCAUCUUCUUGAUCUUUUGAUUGCAAGUAUUAAUUGAUUAAUGCAUGCAAUGUGUUUGAUGAAUUUCCUCAAACACUACCCUGACUUGAUUUUAUCAUUUUUGUUUGCAUGAUUCUCUUGAGUGGUAAAUGCUAAUUACUGUCACUUGUGGUAUCAAUUCUAGUUUGCCCCUAACACAAUUUCAUAUGUCAAUAGUAGUUUUUGUGGUCGUUGUUGUUGUGAUGCAUCUCAAGAUGCGGCUAUGAGGGUGCUUGUGAAAAUGACACUUCCACCAAAAUCACAUGAACAAAGAAAAUCCGACAGAUUUAGUUCAUUUAAGAUGCAGAGAGGGUGCUAUACCCAUCAACAAAAUGAAAUGAUGACAUUUAACUUUUCCUUAUGAGAUGAAAUAUUCUAGUUGGUUGGCUAGUUAUCCUGAAGUGUCAUGUUAAUUUUAAUUAAUUAGAUAGUUGAAACUGGAAGAGUUUAAAGAAAGCUUAUUGGUGUGUUAUGGAAGAGUCUUGACAAAAUGAAAUUUCUCAAGUUAAUGGGAUAUUUUACCAGCUCACUGUUGCCUCAGUUAAUACCCUCAGUAACACCAUGUCAACCUCAUGCCAAAGAAUUUUGUCCAUGGUUCCAAUUCCAUGUAGAAAAUUAAAUCAUGGGUCAUCUCAACAGGGAAUGUGAAGAGUAUUAUAGCUAAGUAAAUCAUAAGAGAAGAACAUAUUUUCUGACUAUAAUAAAAAAAAAUACUAAAACUAAUGCUUGUCGUUGCACCAUAUGUGUGAAGUUUAUUAUCCUGCUGCUCUUUUAUGAGUGUGUGAUCAUAUUUUCAGCUUGGUAUAUGAAAAAACUACAUGGUUGCAUUGCCUAUUUUCAUAUGAUUAAAUGCAUGACAUAAGUUUUUACUUUAAAACUGGAAUAUUAACUUUUUGCUUAUAUAUGUUUAUGGCAUUUCCUCUGCAUUCAUUGUUUAUGGUUAAGUUAUUUUCAGUUUUUUCUCCUCUAUUUCCCAAUUAGUCUAUGAAUUUUGGUUUUUGUCAUUUCUUAGUUUUAUGUAUGAAUUAAGCAUGUUUAAUUGUCAAAAAAAAUUCUCUUUUCUUUAGUGUGUUUUUGUUAUUCAAGAGCCAUGUAUAUAUUGUUUUUAUUAGUGAUGUGAGGGUAUGCAGCCAAGAGGAACAUGCAUUCUUCAAUUUUAUUUUAGCAUGCAUUUGAUCGAAAAGUAUUGUGGCAUUGUUAAAUUAUUACAUAAUUUAUUGCAGAAUGUUCAUCAUGUUGGUCAACCAAUGCCUGGUGAGGAGCAAGAAGAUAUAGUCAUGACCAAUACCCAGAAUAACAUAUUAAAUAUGAAGUGCCCUUUAAUAGGAAAGCCUGUUACAGAAUUGCAAAAUCCUGUCCGCUGGUAAAGUAGUGCUUCACUCUUUACCAAAGUUUUGUAGUUAUGUUUUUAUCCAAUAUAAAUUAAAAUUCCCUAAUUUUUUGUUUGUUAGUAAUGAAAGAUAAAAACAUAACGGUCAAGUGAGAUUGUUUCAUAUGUACAAAGCCAUUUUUUUUCUUUGUGAAUGAACAAAUAUUAAACGGUUCACAAGUUAACUAAAAACAACUAUUUUAAGUGAACUUCUUUCUUAAAUUGCAGAGCUUGGUUUCCUUGGAAAUCAUGUUCCUUCUUGAACCAUAUUCAAUUUGGCAUGAGUCCUUAUUUGAUUAGUUGUGAACUAUGAAUUUGUGUGCUUUGUAGAAUGCAAUGUGAGAUAUGUUAAUGUCGUAGACAACAUUCCAUAGCUUUCUACUUAUAUUUCAUUCUAACAACUCAAAAAAAAAACCUUUUGGCAGAUUAUGUUGAUUCAAUUGUUCAUGUUCCUUGAACAAUGCUUGAUGUAUACUUAUUUAUCAAGUGAUGAAGAAGCUUAUGACUAGUCUGUUUCACAUAUUUUUUUUGUUUCCCAAGCAAAAGGAUGGACUGCAAGCAUAUUUAUGAGAAGGAACUAGUAAUCCACUACAUAAGCACAAAGAAACCACAUCCUCGAUGCCCAGUUGCAGGUUGCCCAAAAAUUCUCCAAGUUGGACGGGUUGUAUGCGACGCCUUGCUUACAAUAGAAAUUGAUGAAAUGCGUUUGGCAUCAGCUACAAACAUAAAUUCAACAAUGAAAAGGGUAAAGAAUGGCUAAACUAAAGGGAGCAGCAGGGAGGGCAAAGAUGUGUGUGGCAGUGGCAUGGUAGAAGAGAUCUGUGUUUUGUGUUUCAAGACUUAUAUAUGUUUUAAGCUUUUACAUGUGAACUAUUUCUUUU